GAUCAGAUACCGUCGUAGUCUUAACCGUAAACUAUACCGACUAGGGAUCGGCGGGCACACCUAAUGAGAAAUCAAAGUCUUUGGGUUCAUGGGGGAGUAUGGUUGCAAAGCUGAAACUUAAAGGAAUUGACGGAAGGAUACCAGCAUUAAUGGAGCCUGCGGCUUAAUUUGAUUCAACACGGGAAAACUUACCAGGGCAAAAUAUUGAUAGGAUUGACAGAUUGAUAGCUUUUUCUUGAUCCAAUACACUGUGGUGCAUGGCCGUUCUUAGUUGGUGGAGUGAUUUGUCAGGUUAAUUCCCUUAACGAACGAGACCUUAACCUGCUAAAUACUUCUUAGAGGGACUAGCGGAAGUUUGAGGCAAUAACAGGUCCGUGAUGCCCUUAGAUGUUCUGGGCCGCACGCGUGCUACACUGAUGCAUGCAGUAAGCCUAGUCUGGGUAAUCUUUCGUGCUUGGGAUAGACCUUUGCAAUUUUGGGUCUUGAACGAGGAAUUAAUUGUAAGCAUGGGUCAUCAUCCCAUGUUGACUACCUCCCUGUCCUUUGUACACACCGCCCGCCGCUUCAACCGAUUCGAGUGUAUCGACGAAUUAUCCGGAGGAAGUUUCGUAAGUUAUUAUACUUAGAGGAUGAAUAAGGCGUAACAAGGUAUCUGUAGGUGAACCUGCAGAAGGAU
rnacentral:rRNA from 1 species